CGGACGGGUGAGUAACACGUGGGUGACCUGCCUCGGAGUGGGGGAUAACCAUGGGAAACUGUGGCUAAUACCGCAUGGUCCUGUUUGGAUGGGCAUCUGGACAGGUAAAGCUUUAGUGCUUCGAGAGGGGCCUGCGCCCGAUUAGGUAGUUGGUAGGGUAAUGGCCUACCAAGCCGAUGAUCGGUAGCUGGUCUGAGAGGACGAUCAGCCACACGGGAACUGAGAAACGGUCCCG
rnacentral:rRNA from 1 species